rnacentral:rRNA from 1 species
GUACACACCGCCCGUCGCUCCUACCGAUUCGAGUGGUCCGGUGAACCUUUUGGACGAGUGCUUGCACUUGAAAAUCAAGCAAACCUUAUCACUUAGAGGAAGGAGAAGUCGUAACAAGGUUUCCGUAGGUGAACCUGCAGAAGGAUCA